GCAAGAACUAAGCGCAGGUUUAAUCGUCCCAUUGAAACGAAUGGUGCAGGAUCGUGCCCUUCCUAGUAAGUUUAUUUGCUCAGCGAUUCAGGCCUUGGCCUGUCGAUACUUCCUUGGGGUGAAUGGGUACCGAAUCAAGUUAGUAGCCCUCCUCCAUCCAUAGUAAUGGUGCUGUCCAGACUUACCGCACCAGCUUCACUAUGUCUACUUAGAAGUAAGUCCUGUUGACUUCAGCGGGGCUUACUCCCAGGUAACUGGGGUUAGGAGUGCAGCCCAAGUAGUUAGCCCACCGAGCAGCUAAAAUAGCCACUGAGAUUCAAAGCAAACCUGGGGUGGUCAUUUUAAAAACCAUGGGCGUAAAAGAGAGCUCAGCUAUGGUGAUGUUGCUUUGAGGUUAAAAACCUUUUUGGGUUUUUAAAUCUGACUGUUGAUUUCUCUAGCUGUAAACGUAGAGGCGCUAUGCACCAGGAAGUUCUCCAGCGCGAAAGAAGAUGCAAGUGAACGAAAGCCGUGCGUCCACACCCUUCUCCUCCAACUCAGGCCCCAUACAUCUAAAUGGAGUUUGGAGACGUUCCCGUUGGACAGAGUCCUUCAGGCCCCCGACCCCCCAAUGGAAAAGCCGGCUCUGAGACCACCUUUCUUAGGCAUUUUUCGCAGGGAAGAAAGGUCGUGGCUCAGAGGUAGCGAGCAGACUUUCCAUACAGAUGGUUCAAUCCUAGACGCCACCAGGAAGGACUGGCAUGCUGGGAAUGCCUCCGGAUUGAAAUCUUGGAGAUUUCUGCUACUGGUCAGUGUAGACAAUCUGAAC